CCUACGGGAGGCAGCAGUGAGGAAUAUUGGUCAAUGGACGCAAGUCUGAACCAGCCAUGCCGCGUGCAGGAUGACGGCUCUAUGAGUUGUAAACUGCUUUUGUACGAGAAUAAACCCCGAUACGUGUAUCGGUUUGAAAGUAUCUUAUGAAUAAGGAUCGGCUAACUCCGUGCCAGCAGCCGCGGUAAUACGGAGGAUCCGAGCGUUAUCCGGAUUUAUUGGGUUUAAAGGGUGCGUAGGUGGGUUGAUAAGUUAGUGGUGAAAUUUUGGGGCUCAACCCCGAAAUUGCCAUUAAUACUGGUAGACUAGAGUACAGUUGCGGUAGGCGGAAUGUAUGGUGUAGCGGUGAAAUGCUUAGAUAUCAUGAAGAACACCGAUUGCGAAGGCAGCUUACCAAACU
rnacentral:rRNA from 1 species